AUCGAUAAUCCACGUUANUUUUCACUUUAACCUAAAAUUUAUAUACCGCCAUUUUAAGAAUCAAUUAAAAAAUUUCUUUCUUAAUAAAUCAUAAAAAAUUAGGUCAAGGUGUAAUCUAUAUUAAAGAAUAAAAUGAAUUACAUUAAAUAAUAUUUAAAGAUUAUUUAUAAAUAUAUCAAUAUAAAUAAGAAUUUAAAAGUAAUAUAAUAAUAAUAAUAUUAUAUGACAAAGACAAUAAAUGUGCACACAUCGCCC
rnacentral:rRNA from 1 species